rnacentral:rRNA from 1 species
GACGUAGGGCGCGAGCGUUGUCCGGAUUUAUUGGGCGUAAAGAGCUCGUAGGCGGCUUGUCGCGUCGUCCGUGAAAACUUGGGGCUUAACCCCAAGCCUGCGGUCGAUACGGGCAGACUUGAGUUCGGCAGGGGAGACUGGAAUUCCUGGUGUAGCGGUGAAAUGCGCAGAUAUCAGGAGGAACACCGGUGGCGAAGGCGGGUCUCUGGGCCGAUACUGACGCUGAGGAGCGAAAGCGUGGGGAGCGAACAGG